rnacentral:rRNA from 1 species
AUCAAGUCGCACGGCAGCACAGCAGAGCUUGCUCUGUGGGUGGCGAGUGGCGGACGGGUGAGGAAUACAUGGGAAUCUGCCCAGUCGUGGGGGAUAACGUAUGGAAACGUACGCUAAUACCGCAUGCGCCCUAAGGGGGAAAGCCGGGGACCGCAAGGCCUGGCGCGAUUGGAUGAGCCCAUGUUCGAUUAGCUAGUUGGCGGGGUAAAGGCCCACCAAGGCGACGAUCGAUAGCUGGUCUGAGAGGAUGAUCAGCCACACUGGAACUGAGACACGGUCCAGACUCCUACGGGAGGCAGCAGUAGGGAAUAUUGGACAAUGGGGGCAACCCUGAUCCAGCCAUGCCGCGUGAGUGAAGAAGGCCCUCGGGUUGUAAAGCUCUUUUGUCCGGAAAGAAAAGCAAUCGGUUAAUACCCGGUUGUUCUGACGGUACCGGAAGAAUAAGCACCGGCUAACUUCGUGCCAGCAGCCGCGGUAAUACGAAGGGUGCAAGCGUUACUCGGAAUUACUGGGCGUAAAGCGUGCGUAGGUGGUUCGUUGAGUCUGAUGUGAAAGCCCUGGGCUCAACCUGGGAAUGGCAUUGGAUACUGGCGGGCUAGAGUGCGGUAGAGGGUAGUGGAAUUCCCGGUGUAGCAGUGAAAUGCGUAGAGAUCGGGAGGAACAUCUGUGGCGAAKGCGACUGCCUGGACCAGCACUGACACUGAGGCACGAAAGCGUGGGGAGCAAACAGGAUUAGAUACCCCUGGUAGUCCCACGCCCCUAAACGAUGCGAACUGGGAUGUUGGGGUUCAACUUGGAAACUCAGGUAUCGGAAGCUAACGCGKUAAGUUUCGCCGCCCUGGGGGAGUAMCGGGUCGCA